rnacentral:lncRNA from 1 species
AAACACCGCAGGAAAGCUUCCAAAGGUGAUAUUCUACCGAUUCCCCUGGAGGAAGUACGAAAAUGACAGAAGAGGACAGUGGAUCAGGGCUGUGCAACGAACAAGGCCGGAGAGGCAGCUUUGGCAGCCUGUGCGGGGCGAGACUCGCAUAUGCAGCGCGCACUUCGUGGGAAACAAAAAGAGCUCCGCUGCGAUGCACCCUUCUUAUCUGCCAACGAUAUUUCCGUCGUGCGGCGGAAGAAGCAACGGCGUUUAACCGCGAAAAUAAACGAAUUAAGGCUCGCGGUCCUACAUUUAGAGAGCACUGAAACACAACCGCAAAAACGCCCAAACCUAUUGACAAUGCACGACCACAGCAAGGGUCCCACCAGCGCAACGCUGCACUCGCAGCUCGUCGGCUCUGGGUCGCCCU